rnacentral:rRNA from 1 species
UACAGAGGGUGCGAGCGUUAAUCGGAAUUACUGGUCGUAAAGCGCGCGUAGGCGGCUUUGCAAGUCGGGUGUGAAAUCCCCAGGCUUAACCUGGGAACUGCAUUCGAGACUGCAUUGCUAGAGUAUGGGAGAGGGAAGUGGAAUUUCCGGUGUAGCGGUGAAAUGCGUAGAUAUCGGAAGGAACAUCAGUGGCGAAAGCGACUUCCUGGACCAAUACUGACGCUCAUGUGCGAAAGCGUGGGGAUCAAACAGG